CGGCGACAACUUAUCUCCGUAAAGUUGAGUUACAGUUCUUUAGUGUGAAUAGAAAUUAUAAAGAAAAAUUGAAGUCAUGUGAAGUUUUUAAUCGUAAAACCAUCAGAACCGUUCAAUUUAAUCAUAUGGAUAGCAUUUAAUCCUCUCAUCUCUCAUUAUGAGAAUUCCUCUCACUUGAAACAUCCCCUAUAUAUACACACAUAUUUGUCUUUCAUUCUGCAUAACACAAAGCUG
rnacentral:lncRNA from 1 species